GGCACAUAGAGUGCUUUUUUUUCUACCUGUCUAGUUCAUAACAGGAUAUUCCUGAGUGUUCACAGUUCGUCGCGCGCUGCCCGAGAUACAACACGGAAACAAAAUUUCAGCCGGAGGGAGGCAUCUGCUCGAAUAUGCCGUACAGUCGCCGCUGGCUGAUGCACGCGCUCAGUUGGCUCAUGUAGCUAUUGCGGAUCUCUCUGUCGAGCACCGUGUGGCACUGCAUAGCGACCAUGUUUGUCUAGCCACAGCAUGGCCAGGCGGUACUCCUGCGAGCCAGUAUCGAAGGCCUCUUCCGGUUGCGGCGAGUCCUCCACUAUAUUUAAGAAAUCUCUGAACAGCAUAUUCGUCUUAUCUUCGGUGCAAGUGCGACUGCGAGAUGCUACUCCAUAUUUGUAAACUAUAAAAUGUAUUCUAUUGGCCACACAAAAUAGAAAGCAAGUUCCAGCUAGACUCACGUUAAUUGGAAUCAAAGAUAUGUCACAAAAAAAAAUAAAAAAUCCUGCUCACACUCCCACACGUACAUAUCUACGUUUCUCAACCACUUGAUGCGUGAUUCGGUCAGCGAUAAAUGACCAUCGCUAACGCUAUACCCCCAGCUUUGAUCUUCAAGUGCUCUCACACCCUGGGCUGCCUUUCACAGGCAGAGAGUCAGCCGGCAGGGCAUUCAAAAUAACUGGAAUAUCGGAAACGAAAUUUCAAGAGAGUCAAAGAGGCAGGAGGGCACCCACCAACACCCACCAGCACGUCAACGACAUGCCACUCAAAAAAGUCAAACCACUUAAGUGCCUUCCAGCCGACAAAAAUAAAAUGAAGUGAAAUGAAA